ensembl:lncRNA
GGGCACUUCCGCCGGCGGGGAAGCGGCGCGGGACGGGGCCGGAGUGUGAUCCAAAGCAGGGGUUGCUCUUGCUGACUCUUCAGCGUUCAUAAGAGAGCGGAGAAGAUGGUGAAUGUUCUGAAAGGUGUUCUGGUUGAGUGGUGAGUAGCAGCAUUUACUGCCUCUCCUUCUGUCAAAGACUGUGUUUCUUUAGACCUGGAACUAAUCUAAGUAACUGAAGAGGCAAAAGAAGGUAUUGUGGAGAAGGGUGGUGCUGAACAAGCAGAGAAAAGUGCGGCCUUAGGGGAAGAAAAAGAAGGCAAUUGUGGAUAGUCUUAAUGCCAAAGGCCCAUUUUUCUGUUCAAGAGAUUGUUUUCCACUUAUGCCUAACCUCCUUAAAGAAAAGAAAACUGCAUAUGAAUAUGGGGUAAAAAAUAUGAUGGUGAAAAAGUUAGAAAUCACAUUGUAGUAAAAAUCCAGGUUAUUAUUUUAAUUUAGCAAGUAGAGAAAAGGAUGUAAAAUACUUAAAAUUAGCAUUUACUAUGAAAAAUUAUGCUUCAAAGCUAUAUUCUACCAUGUCUAAUAGUCCUCUAAUAUUGUCACAUUUUUUUUGAAAGGUUUACAAGUUAAAAUUUUAGCUGUAUAUGUAAGUUAUCUAUAUGCUUGUCAGGUACAACUUAACCCUAGUAUGAGCGAUCCAGUUACCUUGGCAAUUUUUCCUUGCAAAUAUUAGAUGUUCCCUCUUGUUCUUUGUAUUGCUUGCAAGCAGGAGUUUCUUGCUGUUGUUGUUUGUUGAACCAAACAAAACCAGUUUCUUUACUGAUUCUUGAGGAAGACAAGGUAAUCUUUCAUUUCUUCAUUCCUGUUUUGUUUUUAUUUAAUCAGCUCUAGACUGAAUUUGGUGCAGGGCUAACAUGUGGUUCUGUUUGUAGAUCAUAUUUGAAAGGAAUGUGCUUGGAGUUGAUAAAUGUCAGCUUUUUGGUGUAGGUGCAAUGUACCUGUUUUCAUAUAAUCUCAUCUUUGGACUGGGCUCAGGCCUCUGGCUACCUUCCAAAAUUAAAGGAAGCAUCACUCAAGAUUUUGGGGUCGUAUAGAUUACCAUGAUGUGUAGAUAGCUGCUGUACACUUAAUCUCCUAAUAUGUUGCAAUCUAUAACUCACAAAACAGUUCCAUACUUCCAAAAUGUUUUGUUCUAACAACUUACGUUUUAUUUAGAAGGUUGAUAUCAUGAUCAGUUGGAGGUUGAGAAAUAUACAAUUCUUAUAUGAGUACUCUUUGUCUGUGCUAUACUACUUUGAGUGAGAUCUGUGUUCUCUGUCUUCUGGUUAUCCCUAUGCUUUAAGGAAACAUUUUUAUGAGGCUAUUGCUGAAAAUCAGAAAUCUAAGUUCAGUCUUGCUUUAUUAAGGGUUGGACUUUUUGAGUUUUAGUUUUUGAUUUGGGUGUUUUUGAAUUUGCUUUAGCAGCAGCAAAUGGAACCUUCUCUGCUAAUCAAGCAGCUGGUUUCUACUCAUUAGACUUUAUUACCAUUUUAUUUUUGUCUCUAUAGUAACCAAAACUACUUGGGAAAGAAUCAACUUUUACUAAAGUUAUACAAAGUGUAUUUAAGUUAUGAAAAUUAAUUUUAGUUUUCCUAAACCCUUUAGAAAUGUCUUUUGAAUGGUGUUUCUUUUGUUUUCAACUAUAACUGUGAGGUAGAAUCUGAUGGUGUGUUUGUCUCCACAGUGACCCGGCAAUGAAGCAGUUUCUGCUCUACUUGGAUGAGUCAAAUGCUUUGGGAAAGGAAGUUCAUCAUACAAGACCUGGAUGAAACUCAUGUCUUUGUGUUUAGCUGAGUUUGGUCAACUUCCUCCAGGAGAGAUGGGCGAGUAAUGGACCAGAACUCGUUUCCUAUUACUCAGAAGUGAGACAAACCAGAGAAAAUGAGAUUACUGCAAGUUUUGGAAUAGUGAAUUUCAAUAGUUUGGAUGUUACUGUUUUAAUAAUAACACUGUGGCAUGUAAGUCCAAUCAUAGAAGUGGCUACUAUAGAAAAUGCAUCAUUUCAUAGACAAAAUAGUCUGGAAUUGGAUUUUGUUUCUCAUUUUGAAAGAAUGUGGUAUCUGUAUUAAAAGACUUAAAAUGAUACACUUGAGGAGUUCCCUUGAGAAUUUUUGAUGCAUGCUCUCUGGUUUUCCUUUAGGUUUUUAUCUUACAAGAUAUGACCCAAAACAUAGAGUAGUGUUUCUGUAUUGGAAUGCUGUAUGAGGUCCUCUGUAGAUGUGUUGUGUUCCUGUGUGUGAUUGAAUCUGAUUAUAGUGUGACUGAUGGAAAGUAAAGAAUGUCAGUUUAAGUAUGAUCUGUGCUUGAUGGAACAUCUCUAAAUUGGAGGCAUGGUCAGAUACUGCUCUUAACUGGAUGAGUUUUAUACUGCAGGAUGAGAUUUGGUCUGACUGUUUUGUUGUGUUGUUUGAGGUUGGGAGUGUUGGGGGUUUUUUGUUAAAACACAUUACAAAUGCCCCAUACUACUUGCCUACUUUUACCAAGGCUGUGCUUUCCGAGUUGUUCUGAGUUUGGGGAGAGAUAGUGGGAGUUUGGGGCGGAAGGAGGGAUUGGGACAACAAAAUCUAUUGCCCUAGACCAUUAUAUACUAAAGGGGUGACAGAAAUGGGAGACCAGUGCUAUGGGUAUAAUUGCUUGUAUUUUUUCACUGAAGCCAAUAGUCACAAUAAGUUAUGUGAUCAGACUCCCAAGCUCUGCCUAGCAAUCAAGAAAGCUGGGUUUGGAUUUUUGGUUAUGGGGGGAUUUUUUCAGCUUAGUUCUUUUUCCCAUAUUGCCUUUUGCUGUAAAGAAAAAAGCUUUGUAUUGUCAUGGUUUGGUUGUUUGGGUUUUUUUACUCUGUAUUUGUAACUUUAGCUCAGACACUGGCUUAGUUUUAGACCUACUCAUGUACAUCAGAUAGAUGCACAAUUUUGUCUUUGAGAAAAAGAGAAAGGCUUUUUAUAAGGAACAGUUUUCUUUACUGACAUUCCCACUACUGCUUGUUUUCUCUUGUCCAGUAGAUAGCAGAUUAAUUGGUAGGUUUGUCCUUGUUUUUUGUUCAGAUUGUUUUUUGGUUUGUGUUUUUUUCCUCAGAAGGAGGAAUCUUCAGGAGAAAAUUUCACUAGAUGUUUUUAAUCAAAAAGCUGUCCAGAGAAAGUUCUGUAGAAUUGUGUAUAUUCAGGUUCAUGUGGAUGAGCAAAUAGACCUGUAAAAUUUAACUUCAUGACAUUUCUGGUACCUUCCCUUUUCUCUGACUGUAUAGAACAAUGAAUUUGGGUCUAAAUUGUUUAAUCUCUCUCUUUCACAAGUGGGUGCUUCCCUGCUCAUGUAGAUUAAGAACCAGCCAUGUGUCUUUACCUGAAAUAAGAAGUUUAAAUCUUAUUUAUAAAUGGUUUAUGGUUUUUUAUCUCUUUCUUGAGAUUGAUCUCAAGAGACUGAUCAAACACUGACCUCAUAAUUUAUUUUGUGGAAGGUUGUUGGGGGGUCAUUUAAUGGAGAAAUAAUCAGUAGUUUUAACAUGGCAUUAUAGCCUAGUACAAUUUAUUUGGAAGUGUGUGUUUCCUUUCUUUGGAAUCCUAGUUUAUUUUCCAUCCAGAUUCUGCUGAAAGGUAAAUCAUCCAUCACUCUUUUCAAAUUACAGCAUUUGAAAAGUCAUGUUUGGAAUUCCACAUGUAAAGCUUCUCUGUAUAUCGCAUGCCUAGUGCUCCGUUUCUAUUGUGACUUUCCUUUUUAGUCUAUAAUAAACUUCUUGCAGUUCUUGUCUUUUUCUCCUGGUUAACUGUACAGCUUUGCUGCUUUCUUCCCUGUAUUUUAGCUUAAAUUUACAAUAAAAUUAUGUAAUACAGAGGGUUAGAAGUAACCAAGCAGUAUAAACUAAACAGUUGGGCAUGCAUCUUAUAUUCUCUGCUCACAAUUUGUGUUUUUUGAGCAAACAAGUUAAUGGACUUCUAAACCUGUCAAUACUUUUGUUUCUUCCUGUACCCUAACAAGGCAUAACCAAUUCUGUGCUGGAAGAAUAAACAAAACAUAUAAAGAUGUAAGUUGGUAUCAUCAUAUGUAGUCUAAGGAACUGAGUUCACUGUAGUUCCUAGAGAAAAAAUGGAUCUUGAAUCAGGUAGUAUGGUGAAGGAAAUCCAAUGAGGAAACUUUUAGAAAUUGAGUAAGUGUAUGAUUUUAAAAAGCAAACAAACAACCCAAGCAAGACUUUCUGCGAUUUGAAUAAACUUGGACCUCUGAAAGGUUUUGAUUGUUUUUAAAUGCAUGUAAUCCUAGAAUUUACAUGUUUUAACAACAACAAAAAUACUUGCCCAGAUGGGAGAAAAGUAGAUACUAGUAUUAAAAAUACCUAUAAAUUUUGAGAUAAUCAGCAUUUACACUUACAGAUUUUAAACGUUUGUGCUGAUUUUCAUUCAGGUGUGAAAUAUUGGUGAGUACAGCUUGGAAUGAAACACUGCAUUAAAUAUACAUUUUUUAAAGGCUGGAACACUUGAGAAUAAAAGCUGUAGGAGAUCUUUUAGAAUAUAUCCAUGCUUUGAUAAUGGAGUUGAUAGGGUGAGAAAAUCAGCUUUAACUGAAUUUAGAAUAUUAAUGUAUGUUAAUUUAAUGUUUGUAUCCAUAAUUAUUAUGUUCACUUUUUUGCUAGUAGCUAUCAAAGAACUACAGUGCUCUCAGGUCCUGCUUGAGCAGCAAAAAUAGAGCUUGUAUGACAAACUUGUUGCUGCUUGUAAAAGCACCGAAUUUUCUCUUGAAGGGCUUUCACUGCUCACUUUUUGCUUUCAGUUUGAGUUGAAAGUAUUUUGGGUACUGGAAGAAGAGCGUGGUAGGACAGUUAUAUAAAAGACACUUACUUCAACUUCAUUUGUUACUUGCUACUUAUUUAUACUUUAGAUCUAAAUAAAAUUACAAGUUCACUUUUUGGCAUUUUGUGAUGUAAACAGUUGUUGUGUAGUUAUUGUAACUUGAACAUGCUCAUAAAUUCUUCUUUUGUUAACAUAUGCAGAAGCUAAAGAGUUGUAUUUGAUAGAAGGAUGAGACAGAUCUCUAAAGCAAGGUAAGAGAAUUUGAAUAACUUAACAUGUUAUUGAGAGGGAUGAAACUGAAAAUGUGGGAAGAGAGGGAUGGAAACUGAAAAUGCUUCCUAGUGAAAUAAAGCAAUAACAUUUCAUUUUUAUUGAAGAUUAUACUAUUGGACAUUUGGGUUUUUUGUUUGAAACGUCAGAUUUUUUAAAAUUGUUUAUUAAUGGCCUUCAAAGAAAGUUGUGUAAAAACAAGUAAGUCAAAAUGCUGUCACAUAUUUAGAUAGUGUUAUAAAUUGUGGGAUAAGCUAAUUCUGGAGAGGGGGUUGUUUUAGCAGGGGGGUUGGCAGCACAAUGAGUACUACCCUGGUUGGUCAGUAUAGAUAGGGGUUGUAAUGACUUGGUUCGCUUGUGAUCAAUGCCUGAGUCCCUCUCCCUUCUCUCUGGUACAACAGGUAGCCCAGGAAGAAUAACUGUCCAGUACAGUAAGGGAGGAACCAACGAUCACUAGGGAGAAUGGAUGUGUCCUUUAGAAAGUAAAUAGAGAUUGCUGUUGAAAAAAAAUAGAGAAUGCUUUAGGAAAUUCUACCAUUUUACCUGAGAUAACUAGACUGAGUGGAUUUGAUUCUGUAGCUAAACUGCCUGUGUUUCACAAAAAAAAGUAGGCAACUGAAUCCAUUUGAAUAAUAGUGGUUUUGUUUAUUUGUUUCAUGUACUUACAAUGAUAAUUGGGGGACUUGGGGUUAUUUUUGGUUUUUGUUACUUAGUGGUGAAAGCUAAAUGGCUGUCUGAUGUGCUGUGCUGUACUAAACCUCUUCCAAGUGCUGUUAUACAUUAAGAAAUCCUGUUUUACAGUCUUUCCAGGUUUAUAGGGUGUAUUCAAAAGCAUAUCCUUUGAUUCCCUCUUUUUUUUCCUAAUGUGCCAUAACAACAGAUUUUACAGUUUUAUCUCACUCAGCUCUGCAGGGCCACCUCAUGUGUGUGAGAACAAUCCAGAGAACAUGUAUUUUAUGCAUUAACAGGAUUGUUUACUGUGAGCUGAAGUAAACAAGAUUGUUUACUGUAAAUUAAAGAUAAUUGUAUUUCAUGGUGUCAUAAAAACUACUUAUAUUUAACCUUUCUUAGUUGGCUUCUUCACCAUAAAAGGUCAGUCGGCCCCUAGGCUGACAUUACAAAAGUAGGGCGCUAAAAAUCAUCUAUAAAUGUGUAUACAUACAUAUAUAUAUAUCUAUAUCACCAUAUGUAUCUUAACCAUUCCUUAAUCAUAUAAACCAACACAGUUUGAGAGGUAUAUUUUGCUCUUAAAAUCAGACAGUAGGCCAUUGAAGAAAACAGUAUGCUUUCAUAAUAGAUUUUUUUUGCAGCUCCAAAUUUCAUAUAAAUUUCCACUAUGAGUCCUUGAUUAUACCACAAAAGAUCCCGCUGAAGCUUGUGGGGUUACUGUGAAAUGAGUGCAUUACUCAGUGUGUUAGAAUUGUGUGUUUGUUCUGUAAUUUAGACUGUGGCAAGGCCUACAUUUGCUAUACAAAAUCAAGGAUUCAAAAUAAGUUGAAGUUCACAGUGAUGGAAGAGCAAUUUCUUCCUAAACUAAGUCAUUAUCUUUGGGUUUAUGACCUAGCAGCUAAUCAGAAAUGGAAACAAUAGGAUAUAUGAUAUAAAUUUGAUAUAGACCUGGGCUUUUGUUUGGGUUUUUUGUUUGUUUGUUUUUUGUGGUUUUUUUUUCUGAAAUGUGGAAUAUAAGUAAUAUUUUAUCCAUCUUUGUUUCAUAUAAAAGAUUUUCAGGACCAAAGAGCUGGUAGUUUGAAAGCAGACCAGUAAGGGGAGCUCUUGCCAAUAUUUUAAGCUAAUUUUAAAAAAUUGUUGCAGCCUGGGCAGUGGUGGGUCAGAGACUUACCAUGCUUUGGACCAUCAGCUAUGCUUUCAGCGAGAGAUGAACUUUCAGCUUCAAAGUGUCCUGCUAAAAAGAUAUUCACUGUUGAAGAUUUUGAAAUAUUUUUAGUUCAGAAAUUUCUUAUCUGUUUAGGUAUCCAGUGUUUCCUCCCUAAGUGUAGGUACACAGCUGUGUUUCAUUAAAAUGAUGAGUCUGAAAUGUGGUCUUGUCGUCAGAUGUUACUGGUAGGUCUGUGUAUCUUCACACCAUGAGUCUGCUUUAGAAGUUGCUCCAUAUUAAUUACAUAAUUUUUAGUGAGUGUAAAUCAAAAUAAAUCAUUGUGAAUAAGAGGUAAGAGUUACGAUUUUUUUCCUCUGUAUUUCCUCAUAAUACAAAAUGCAUGUGAUUGUAGGGUACCUGUUCCUCAAAUCACAUGCAUCAUACUGUGUAGAAGACCAUACAACAUUCAAUCUUUCUGUAUUUCAGUCUGCACAGGGGAUUUCUGCAUCUUUUUCCUUACAGUGUUGCUUAUAGUGCAUGGAAGUGAGACAUACAGAAAGUUUUUCCCUCCUUGGCCCCCAAAUGAGUAGCUUUAUUGGUUUACACAUAUGUAAUUGUAAAAUUCAGUACGUUCCCUGACCAAACAAAAAAACUACAGUAUCUGUCAGUUAAGUUUUAAUAUAAGGGGCAACCCCCACUAGGUCUUUGAAUAAUAGGGAUUGUAUUUUUUAUAUAGACUGAAAAAGUAAUUUUCUCACUUCUGUUUGCUUAGCAGUCAAAAGGGUGUUAGUAACAAGAAGUGGAAGGUUCCUAGAAGAAGUCUUAAUACCAAUGCAGGAAAGUGCUUGAACACACCAAAGAAGACCCAUACAACACCAAAACUGACAGAUAAUUGAUUAGCCAUAUAACUAGCCUCUCAGGAAAGAAACAGCAAAAUUUCUGGAUGACUACAGACUGAAAGAGUUGACUGUCAGUGCUGUACAGCUGUUCAUUUUUCUAUGACACAAAAGAUGGCUUAAACUGUAAAUGGCAGGGUUUGCAGAGCAAUGGGUGCCCUUGCAGCUGUGAAGAUCUCACUUGCAGAUGAGAUAGUGUUGCAUGUUUCUGCAGUGUUGGCAUAGCUCCUGCACUGUCAGUAGACAGAGGUAUGCACACCAAGCAAAUUAUCUCUCACCAUUUUGUGUGUUGUGUUCCUGAUGUAUCAAAGCUAGAGAGGUGAGAUGAGAGGGCAAAAGAAAAAAAGGCAGGAAAAAGGGGGAAGAGUAUUUUAGGUUUGUAACUAUUCUUUCCUGUUAAUUCUGAAAUUGAACAAGAUCAGAAGGAGCAUAAGGAUCAAAAAAUUUACUUGCAAUUGACUAGAUCUUAAUCGGCUUACAAAAGGCUCUGUGUUUAUCCAACCAGAGACCAAGCUUUCUUAAUACUACACCUACUAUUCAUUUGCUCUGUCCUGAAUGGGACCACUUUUCUCUGUGGAAUUGCUCUGUGUAGUUUUACUUCCUCUUAAUCUCUUAAUUCUUCUCCACUGGCAACUUUGUUGUGUGUAAGACAUGUUUUGUAUGUGUGUCAUAUCACUAGAUAUACAGGUAUUCCAAAAGCUAGAGAUUCAGCAGAAGUGAGUAACCCUGGAAUAAUGAUGACCUUCUGUGUCAUCAAUCAGAUAUGAAAGAAAAACUUCUCUUCAGCUGUAAAAUGAAGCAUGUUCCCUAUAUUUGAUUUUACUUUUGGUCUAAACAAAGACUAAUUUUAUCUUUUAAUAUUAGGGAAGUUAUAAAAUCAGUAUAA